UUUCCUUCCGUGCCCACCCGCUGAGAGAAGGAAGGGAGCGAGAACAGAAUUUAGCGUCCUCCGCCCUCCAUCCUAAUCCUAUUUGUUAAGGAGAUUUGCCAUAAAGCCAAUGCUUCCAGGCGGCUUCCAUGGCCGAAUUACCACACCGCACAGCUCCGAACAGUGGGAGUGAGAGAGGCGACUGCAGGUCCGAGGCCGCGGAGAGGGGUCCCCGCCCGGGCACCGCCUGGGCGCUGCUCCGGCUCCGCUCUCUCCUCCUGCCUCUCGGGCCCUCUGGCCCCAGCGGUGCUUUAUCCGUCAAAACCCCGAACAAAAACUGUAGGCAACAAGGAGGCUGGACACAGAUGCUUAGACCCCCGGGCCAGUGUUCCCUGCUCUGCUCCUCGCUUCCUUGUGCCCUGGCUUGGCUCACACUUGCCUGCACGCUCUGUCCUGGCUGCCUGUUCGAGGAUGGCCUUUGCGGACCGACGGAGGCCUGCGUAAAUGAUUUCCAGCUAUUUACCAAGGCAGCUGUGUGGUCACGGAGUGGUAAUUGA
rnacentral:lncRNA from 1 species